UCGAUUUGUUGUGGGCAAAUAAAAUGAAUGUGCGCGUCUAUGCCACCAGCCGUUAAUAUUUGACCUUCACCGGCAAUCACUUCAGUGCCCGGGCCCACUUCGAUAUCAAUAUUGUCUUGAAUGUCUGGAUUACCGGCUUUACCUAUUAUGGCAAUACGGCCAUCUUUGAUGCCGACAUCGGCUUUGACUAUGCCCCAGUGAUCAACAAUUAAAGCGUUAGUUAUCACCAAAUCUGGCGUUUCUUUACAUGAGGCUUGGCUUUGGCCCAUACCAUCACG
rnacentral:sRNA from 1 species